GCAAAACACUGAUUAGACAUUUCACAAGAGGGAACAAAGGCUUCACUUUGUCAAUAAGACUUUUAUUCGCAAGCAGUGAGAAGAUGGAACACAGUCUGACAGCACUUUAAGUCUGAAAAUCUGAUUUAAAAAUCUCCCCACAAUGAAUAAGGAGGGAAUGAAGUGCAGCAAAGGAAAGAUCCUCCGGUUUCUGUCACUUGUAAUAGUCCUCCUCCUGCUUAUCUAUCUAACAAGCUUUAACCUUUCCCAAUCUCAGCAGGUAAAUGCUCAGAAAUCAGAGACUAAAAUCUGGGAAAAUAAGCAUCACGAAAACAAGGUAGACAUGUAAGAUCCCAGGGCACUUUCCAAAACGCAGAGGAAUUCUUCCAGUAUAUUGGCAUUUCAAUCAACAUUAUUACAUUCAGUGAUUGGUCUUGCAGUCAUUUAUGAGAAGUUGCUGUGCUGUAAUCCCCUACAUUGCAAAACUGACUUUGAAAUACUUGAAAAUGUCCUAGCAAAAUGAAAGAAGGUAUUAUUAAAAACUAGUAUUUGAUAUUUCAUUCAGAUUACAAAAUGUAGAAUUAAGUGACCUGCGUACGCAGGGCAUUGCAUGCUUUGCAGGUGUGACUACAUC